rnacentral:rRNA from 1 species
AAAGAGAAGCAUUCAUGACCAGACUUGGGCUUGGUUGAACAUCCGGCGUUCUCGCCGGUGCACUCUGCCAGUCCAGGCCAGCAUCAGUUUGCCCCGGGGGAUAAAGGCGGCGGGAAUGUGGCUCCCUUCGGGGAGUGUUAUAGCCCGUCGUGUAAUGCCCUGGGGCGGACUGAGGAACGCGCUUCGGCACGGAUGCUGGCGUAAUGGUCAUCAAUGACCCGUCUUGAAACACGGACCAAGGAGUCGUCUUCGUAUGCGAGUGUUCGGGUGUCAAACCCCUACGCGUAAUGAAAGUGAACGUAGGUGAGAGCUUCGGCGCAUCACCGACCGAUCCUGAUGUUCUCGGAUGGAUUUGAGUAAGAGCAUACGGGGCCGGACCCGAAAGAAGGUGAACUAUGCCUGUAUAGGGUGAAGCCAGAGGAAACUCUGGUGGAGGCUCGCAGCGGUUCUGACGUGCAAAUCGAUCGUCAAAUAUGGGCAUGGGGGCGAAAGACUAAUCGAACCUUCUAGUAGCUGGUUUCCGCCGAAGUUUCCCUCAGGAUAGCAGUGUUGAACUCAGUUUUAUGAGGUAAAGCGAAUGAUUAGGGACCAGGGGGCGCUAUUUAGCCUUCAUCCAUUCUCAAACUUUAAAUAUGUAAGAAGCUCUUGUUACUUAAUUGAACGUGGGCAUUCGAAUGUAUCAACACUAGUGGGCCAUUUUUGGUAAGCAGAACUGGCGAUGCGGGAUGAACCGAACGCGAGGUUAAGGUGCCAGAGUAGACGCUCAUCAGACACCACAAAAGGUGUUGGUUCAUCUAG